rnacentral:rRNA from 1 species
UACGGAGGGGGCGAGCGUUAUUCGGAAUUAUUAGGCGUAAAGGGCGCGUAGGCGGCCCGGCAAGUCAAAGGUGAAAUCCCUCGGCUCAACUGAGGAACUGCCUUUGAAACUGUCGGGCUUGAGGCCGGGAGGGGGUAGCGGAAUUCCCAGUGUAGCGGUGAAAUGCGUAGAUAUUGGGAGGAACACCGGUGGCGAAGGCGGCUACCUGGCCCGGUACUGACGCUGAGGUGCGAAAGCGUGGGGAGCAAACAGG